AACCAAACCACUUGAUUCUCCCUCCAAAACCAUCCACACACCUUCCCUAUAAAUAGGUGAAGGUGUUCCACCAGAAAACCAAGCUUGAAAGCCCCUCAAACCCCUGCUGAAUUUUUUACCUAAAGCUCCCAAAACAGAACAUCAUGUUUUGAGUUUCAGUGAGUUCCAACUUCAAACAACCACCUAGAAACCUUCAUAAACCAUCAUUCAAUAUUUCCAAACAUCUAAC
rnacentral:lncRNA from 1 species